UACGUAGGUGGCGAGCGUUGUCCGGAAUUACUGGGCGUAAAGGGUGCGUAGGCGGUCCAUUAAGUCUGAUUUGAAAUACCAUGGCUCAACCAUGGGGGUGGAUUGGAAACUGGUGGACUUGAGCGUAGGAGAGGAAGGUGGAAUUCCAUGUGUAGCGGUGAAAUGCGUAGAGAUAUGGAGGAACACCAGUGGCGAAGGCGGCCUUCUGGCCUAUCGCUGACGCUGAGGCACGAAAGCGUGGGGAGCAAACAGG
rnacentral:rRNA from 1 species